AAGAUCGCACGUUCAAGAGUUUUGGACAAAAAGGGAAGAAGAGAGACCGGUCUGUAGAACAGAGGAGGCCAGGGAGAAGGGAGAGAGGGAGCGAAUGUUGCGACGAACAGGUACAGAGUCAGUCAUAUACAUAUGUAUGUAUAUAUAUAUAUAUAUAUACACACAUAUAUAUAUAUAGUACCAUACAUAUGGGUACAUACUCUGAUAAAUGGGAUAAAAUACAUUUUUAUCAAUUAUGAAUGCUUUGAAGUAUUUCAUAGAAGUUCAUAGAUAAGAUUUCUAAUCGGCUCUUGUGUCACUCUCAUACUAAAUGUAGCUACAACAUGGACAUCAAAGGAAAUGCAUUGUGAAAGAAAUGCUAUGUAAGCAUUUGAAAAUAAAUUCAAAAACCAUGUGGAAAAAGUCACUAGUUAUUGUUCAGGGCUAAAAAAUGUUUUCUUUAUGUCCCUCACUCAGCCUCCAGGAACUGUAUUGUUCUCCCAUCAUCUCUUCUUUUAUUCCAUCUCAUUCUCUUCGUCUGACUGGUGCCCUCUCUCAGCAGUGGAGGGUAAUUAAAGUGGUCAGGGCCAUUCCGUUACCCGAGGGGUGGGAGACAUAUUCAAAGGCUGGCAAGAUCAAAAUGAAAACCAAUUAGCGCUGGGGUUCUGUCCUUUUAUAAUGCAUGGAAAGUUGGCCAGCUUAUUGGCUGGCCUCUGUCUUUUGCUCAAUGUAGAGAGCGCUCCCUAGCAGCCUCGGGUUGGAUUGGGGUUAAAGUAGAAAAGGUGGAGGCGCACGAGGGAAUGGAGGAGCCGUCUGUAUCAGGAGUGAAUAAAGAGGUGCUCGUUUUGGCAUACGUGUACCAAAAGGACACAUAUGAAGUGAUAAUCUGACAUCAGAUUCAUUGUGGAUUAAGGGUGAUGUUAGAGUGACGCGUGACGUUGGCCACAAUCCUUAAAGAAUGGAAAAAAACAAUGGAGAUGAUAUAGACAGAGGAGAAGCAACUGUACAGUAAUGUACGUGAAAGGGAAAUCCUUUGAGACAAGUUAUUCAUCUAUUUAAAUGCCCAAGGGCUAGUGUGUCUUACAAUGCUUAACAUGGAUAAAUUGAAGUAAUUAGUAUGUAUUUCCCUCUGGCAAAUGUUGGAUGAUCACCACGCAUUCACUUAGUAGAUGUGGAUCGAAGUCUAAGCAGGACCCUGAUACACUCAUUCAAUGGAUUGGAAAAGAGAAAAUUUAGACCACAACAUGAUGAAAAUACCAAUAAAUAUGAUAAAAAUUCAAUGCCCAAAACUGAUGUUAAGGGAAUUAAGGCUAAAAUGAUGGUUUUAAUAACAGGCAAAGGCUCUAAACACAAAUUUUGUUUCUAGAAAAUGACAAUAAAAUAAUAUCAUGGCUCAACAUUGAUUUCUGCACAUUCAUCAAUAGCUGCUUUGGAUGUGAGCCAGGGGUUUUCCGAGUUGAUACAAACCAUUCUGUCUUAACAAAUUGACACUGUAGUUACCACUUUAGAAGCGCUCCGCCACAUUGAAGGCUUUUUUAGUAUUUCCACCCUAUUCCUAAAUAACUUG
ensembl:lncRNA